CAAACGGAGAGUUUGAUCCUGGCUCAGGAUGAACGCUGGCGGCGUGCCUAAUACAUGCAAGUCGAACGGAAGCGAUAAGCUUGCUUAUCAAAUCAGUGGCGAACGGGUGA
rnacentral:rRNA from 1 species